GCCGGCUCAGACCGGUUCUCAGCGCAAACAACCGCCCCCCGCCCGGCGGGGCACCGCGGCGGCGAACCCCCCGCUUUCCUCCAGAAACACCCGCCUUUCCCCCGCAAAACGCCCGCUUUUCCCUCAGGAACACCCGCUUUUCCCUCAGGAACACCCGCUCUUCCCUCAGGAACACCCGCUCUCCCCGCCCCCGCCAAACAGCCGGGUCAGGCGACUCCACGGCCGCGCCGCCAUUACAGCGGCGGGCGCGCUCCGCCGGCUGUGAGGCGAGAGAAAGCGGCGGGGUUUCGGAGCGAGAUAAAAAUCUUAUUAUGCAACGCACAUUUUUAAUAGAUUAUUGCCGGGUCCAGGGCUGAGAAGGAUCUGUUUAUGUGGUUACACAUGCACAGGUCUUGAAAACCACAAGCAAGGAAACCCAGACUUCUCCUUCACCACCUUUCUGCUUUUUCACGGCUUCUGAAGGACAGUACCCAGCACAAAGUUCCCACGAGUGCUGAACACCCACCGUGUGCCCCAAACACCCCCCAGGGCAGGGAACACAACUCUGCCAGCUGAGACCAACAGGAUGAGACUUGAGUGACCACGUUCUUAAAUUUCAGAAGAAUGCAGUGUCAUAAAGACCUUAAUAAUACCAUGGCCCCUCAAAAUUGGCCAUUUCCACUUAUAAAAAAACUGUAAGAGAAUCUCCAGUUGCUAAAAUCCUCGAGACCACGGAAAUUGCAGGCAAUAAUUAUUCUCCAGACAAAAGAAACUGGAUAUAUUACACAGCAAGUGGGAGCACCGAACCAGGAAAAAGGGGGUGAGGCAGCUUUCGCUCACCAACAGUAUAUGAGGGGCUUAAUAUUUACAUGGCUAAAUUUCAACUGUGUCGAAAAUUAAAUACUUGUGCUUUGAAAGACUUCAAGGCCCGGUGGGGUUUUGCUUCCCAAAGUAAAGAGAGGGUUAAAUGUUUAUUAUUAUCUAACUGAUUGCUAAGAAACAUGUAAAACUCUUUUCUGAUCCUUCAAAAUUAAAUAUACAAUCCACCAGAUUCCAUUA